rnacentral:rRNA from 1 species
AGUGAACGCUGGCGGUAGGCCUAACACAUGCAAGUCGAACGGCAGCACAGGAGAGCUUGCUCUCUGGGUGGCGAGUGGCGGACGGGUGAGGAAUACAUCGGAAUCUACCUUUUCGUGGGGGAUAACGUAGGGAAACUUACGCUAAUACCGCAUACGACCUACGGGUGAAAGUGGGGGACCGCAAGGCCUCACGCGAUUAGAUGAGCCGAUGUCCGAUUAGCUAGUUGGCGGGGUAAUGGCCCACCAAGGCGACGAUCGGUAGCUGGUCUGAGAGGAUGAUCAGCCACACUGGAACUGAGACACGGUCCAGACUCCUACGGGAGGCAGCAGUGGGGAAUAUUGGACAAUGGGCGCAAGCCUGAUCCAGCCAUACCGCGUGGGUGAAGAAGGCCUUCGGGUUGUAAAGCCCUUUUGUUGGGAAAGAAAUCCUGUCGAUUAAUACUCGGUGGGGAUGACGGUACCCAAAGAAUAAGCACCGGCUAACUUCGUGCCAGCAGCCGCCGCGGUAA